UAUUUCAGUACAAAGUAAAUAGAUAUCCAGUUGUAUCUUACUGCAUUAUAAAUGUUAUCUGAUGUACAAGCGAUAAAUUUAUCUCGAACGCCUUGCAAAAGCCGCCCACUUGCACAACAGUAACUUGAUCAGCUUCUAAUGUGGCGAAAACUGUACAUAGCAUUCAAGCAUUAAGCCUGCAUACGGUCACAAAAAGACACCUUGGCACCAGAGCAGUUCCAUCACCUUGAGACAACACAGCGAUCGGAGACCGAAACUCAUUCACCAAUGUUAAUUAAUUAUAAGGUAUCAUAAACGUUAAUCACUCAAAUCUGUUCAUUCUGUGUAAUUAUUAUAACUAAGCCAUACUAGAUAUGGCGACUUCAUUGUAAAACAACGAAAUAUAAAGCAAUAAAUUUAAAUAAAAUCAAUUGAAAGUAUGAA